CUUAUUUCUCUCAUAUCUCUACUUUCAAUGAUGUCAAAGAAGAAGAGUGGAAUAGUGUCGGUUUAUUUGAGUGUGUAUGAUUUGACGCCGAUCAAUUGUUAUGCAUAUUGACUCGAGGUUUACCAUUCCGAUGUGCAAGCUUACUAUGUUGUGGCAAAAAAAUCUCUCAGUAAGCAGAUAUCUAUAACCUUAUUUGAACAGAUGAAAGCCGACUUUAGAAAAAGAUAUGGAGGCGGUAAAUCCGAUACUGCUAUUAUGAAAAGUCUCAAUAAGGACUUUGGCCAAUUAUGAAAGAGUGCAUGAAAUAUAUCAUUGAGCAUACAGAAGAGAUCGGAAAGUUGAUCAAAGUGAAGACUCAAGUAUCAGAAGUUAAGAGUAUAAUGUUGGAGAAUUGUUACAAGGUAAAAAUACAUCAACAUGGGGUUUGAAACGUUGCGAAUUUGUUUGUAUUUGCAUCGAUCUAAUCGUUGCCAUAUGAUGUUUACCAUUAUCAUCUUGUUCUAUAAAAUUGGUGAUCACUUCGAGUUGGCCUAGUCGAUAGAGAGUCGUAAAGUCAAGUUUAAGGUGCAUGUUUGUGGCAUACCUUUAUUCUUGGAAGUUUGAACAAAUUUUGAUUAUGUAUUACGAUAUGAACUACUUACAAUUUUGGAAAACUAGGCAACCAACUGUGGAAAUCAAAGUUGAAGAAUAUUCGAACUCAGAUGAAGGAUUUUCUCUUGAGUGAAAGAGGCUUAUUUUGCUUGUGCUUGUACUUAACAUUUAUUAGAAUUUCAACAUGAAUGUUUAUAGUUUCACAAUAUGGAAGUGAGUGACUUACCUAGUUAUAUGUAGGAA